CCUACGGGAGGCAGCAGUGGGGAAUUUUGGACAAUGGGCGAAAGCCUGAUCCAGCAAUGCCGCGUGAGUGAAGAAGGCCUUCGGGUUGUAAAGCUCUUUUGUCAGGGAAGAAACGGUGAGGGCUAAUAUCCCUUGCUAAUGACGGUACCUGAAGAAUAAGCACCGGCUAACUACGUGCCAGCAGCCGCGGUAAUACGUAGGGUGCAAGCGUUAAUCGGAAUUACUGGGCGUAAAGCGUGCGCAGGCGGUUUUGUAAGUCUGUCGUGAAAUCCCCGGGCUCAACCUGGGAAUUGCGAUGGAGACUGCAAGGCUAGAAUCUGGCAGAGGGGGGUAGAAUUCCACGUGUAGCAGUGAAAUGCGUAGAGAUGUGGAGGAACACCGAUGGCGAAGGCAGCCCCCUGGGUCAAGAUUGACGCUCAUGCACGAAAGCGUGGGGAGCAAACAGGAUUAGAUACCCUGGUAGUCCACGCCCUAAACGAUGUCUACUAGUUGUCGGGUUUUAAUUAACUUGGUAACGCAGCUAACGCGUGAAGUAGACCGCCUGGGGAGUACGGUCGCAAGAUUAAAACUCAAAGAUAGUACGGCGCGAGAGAGCGACGACGACGACGACGGAGGAGGAGG
rnacentral:rRNA from 1 species